rnacentral:rRNA from 1 species
GAUGAACGCUAGCGACAGGCUUAACACAUGCAAGUCGAGGGGCAGCACAGGUGGCAAUACCGGGUGGCGACCGGCGCACGGGUGAGUAACGCGUAUGCAACUUGCCUAUCAGAGGGGGAUAACCCGGCGAAAGUCGGACUAAUACCGCAUGAAGCAGGGGCCCCGCAUGGGGAUAUUUGCUAAAGAUUCAUCGCUGAUAGAUAGGCAUGCGUUCCAUUAGGCAGUGGGCGGGGUAACGGCCCACCAAACCGACGAUGGAUAGGGGUUCUGAGAGGAAGGUCACCCACAUGGGGACUGAGACACAGACCAAACUCCUACGGUAGGCAGCAGUGAGGAAUAUUGGUCAAUGGGCGCGAGCCUGAACCAGCCAAGUCGCGUGAGGGAUGAAGGUUCUAUGGAUCGUAAACCUCUUUUAUAAGGGAAUAAAGUGCGGGACGUGUCCCGUUUUGUAUGUACCUUAUGAAUAAGGAUCGGCUAACUCCGUGCCAGCCGCCGCAGUAA